rnacentral:snRNA from 9 species
AUACUUACCUGGCGUAGAGAUACCGUGAUCAUGCAGGCUGUUCCCCCAGGGUGAGGCUGCUCCAUUGCACUGCGGAGUGGUUGGUGGUUGACCCUUGCGAUAAAUCUUUCUUAUAAGUUUCACUUCUACCGUGUGUGACUUGCACACACACACA